rnacentral:rRNA from 1 species
UGGGGAAUAUUGCACAAUGGGCGCAAGCCUGAUGCAGCCAUGCCGCGUGUAUGAAGAAGGCCUUCGGGUUGUAAAGUACUUUCAGUCGGGAGGAAUGUGUCAAGGUUAAUAACCUUGGCAAUUGACGUUACCGACAGAAGAAGCACCGGCUAACUCCGUGCCAGCAGCCGCGGUAAUACGGAGGGUGCAAGCGUUAAUCGGAAUUACUGGGCGUAAAGCGCACGCAGGCGGUUGAUUGAGUCAGAUGUGAAAUCCCCGGGCUUAACCCGGGAAUUGCAUCUGAUACUGGUCAGCUAGAGUCUUGUAGAGGGGGGUAGAAUUCCAUGUGUAGCGGUGAAAUGCGUAGAGAUGUGGAGGAAUACCGGUGGCGAAGGCGGCCCCCUGGACAAAGACUGACGCUCAGGUGCGAAAGCGUGGGGAGCAAACAGG